CAGCAGCCGCGGUAAUACGUAGGGUGCAAGCGUUAAUCGGAAUUACUGGGCGUAAAGCGUGCGUAGGCGGUGAGUUAAGUCUGCUGUGAAAUCCCCGGGCUCAACCUGGGAAUGGCAGUGGAUACUGGCUCGCUAGAGUGUGUCAGAGGAUGGUGGAAUUCCCGGUGUAGCGGUGAAAUGCGUAGAGAUCGGGAGGAACAUCAGUGGCGAAGGCGGCCAUCUGGGACAACACUGACGCUGAGGCACGAAAGCGUGGGGAGCAAACAGGAUUAGAUACCCCCGUAGUCCCUGUCUCUUAUAA
rnacentral:rRNA from 1 species